AAGAGUGCUCUCACUGGUAACUAAAUUAGAUUCGGCUAGCACUUUGAUCUCAGACUGCCAGCCUUCAGAUCUGUGAGAAAACAAGUUGGUGUUGAAGCCAUUCAGUCUACGGCAUUCUGUUACAGCAACAGAAUUGGGAUCCUUCGUGCUUCUCAAUCUUCUCUAGGGACAGAAAGAAACACUUUUCUGGACAUUUAGGCUUGAAGUCUGAAACGAAGGUGUUGGCAGCCCUCGGCUCUCUCCAAAGGCUCUACAGAGAAUCCUUCCGUGCCAGCUACGCCUACCUUCGGGUGGAUGCUGUCAAUCCUUGGCAGCCCCUGGCUUGUAGAUGCAUCGCUCCAGUUUCUGCCUCUAUAGUCAUGCGUCAUUGUUCUUUUAUGGAUGUUUGCGUAUAGAUCUCCUCCUUCUAAUAAAGACAUCUCAUUGGAUUAAGGAUCUUCUUCACAAAGUUCCAGUUAUCCAAGGCCCGGCUUAAAUAUGAUCCUUCUUCAUUCAGACCUCUAUGAUGAACACUGAGUAGAAUUCAGAUUUCCCUUACUUUCUGUCACUUAGUACUUUGCCUAUAUCUCUAUUAUGGAUUAUGUAUAGUAACUCAUGUAAAUACAUGACUUCAUAACUGGAUUGAGGCAAAUUUAAUUGUUGCGUCCUCUCUACUGCUAGAAACAGUUCUAGCAACAGUGUUUUGUGUAUAGAAAUAAUAGCACAUAUCUGAUGUAAUACUCUUUUAAAUGGUGGGAGUAAUAAAUCUACAUGAUACCUACUAAUUCUGUAUCUUUCUAAC